CGUGUAACAGAUACAACAUUACUUAUAACAUACCAGACAAACUAAGUGACACUUUAGGCCUACAGUGCAAUAAUAUGUCAAAUUUAAAGAGUUUCCCAAGUUCAAUUAAUACAAUAUUAUAAACAUACAAAUGUAAUAAAAAUUAUUGUUCGCGAAUAUUCAAUUUGGAAUGCGAUUUUGUUAAUAAAAAAAAUACUUAUAACUUAUGCAAAACCCAAGAGAGGCAUUUAUAUUUAUUUCUUUUGCGUUCAUUUUCAAAUUCGCCGUGCAUAUAUUUUUGUGCAUGGCGCUUGAGAGGGCAUCACGUGACUAAAAACGACCAACCAACGACCUCGCUUCGGCCAUCUUGGCAUCUUCAUCUUGGCCACCUUGCUUUGCCGUGGGUGGAUCGUUGUUUCUAUUUUUUGUGCUUUUUAAGAAUAUUUUUUUAAUUCGGAUACUUUUAUAAUAGCUUUAAUAGUAUUAUUAACAUAGUGAAUAAAAUGGUGUCCUGUUUUUAACGCAGUUGGAGUAGCAGAAACAAAUGUAGAUAAAAAAAUCUGCAGGAAUAACGUUUCAAUUAUGACAGAAGCUCCAAACAAAUGACUGUGAAUGAAAAGCCCUAUUAAAAGGUUAGUAUGCAAAUAGUAUGUAAACGAAGGCAUGCCCUGUAUUUCAGAAAAUAAAUUAAUACUAUUAAUACCGUAAUAAUACUAUUCAUAAAAAAUCUUUUAAGUAACCUAGAUAUAACAAAGUGAAUAAAAGGCAUAAAUCAGAAGAAUUAUUAUUUUAUUUUAUAAGUUAAUAAUUGGUCAUAUCCAUUUAUUAUUUUAAUAAUAAUUGUGAAUAAGCCACAAACUUUGCUUAUUCCUAACUAAAAUAGUAAAUAGAGAUAAUAACAAUAGGAUUUGUAAAACUAAAGUAAUUCUUUUUGCGUUUUUGCUAAUGUAUGCCUUUAUAAAUAGGAUGGUAGACCACACACUAUAAUAUGCAGUACCAACUAAUGAAUACACAGAAUAUUAUAGUCGAUUUGCUAAACUCAGUCUCAGUACUACUGAGUCUCAGACACAACUGGCUAGUGAUUUUAGUAAAUAAUUUUGCCAAUUUGGUAAAAUUGGCAAAAAAAAAAAAUAAUAACUAAAUAGUUAAUAAUUACUGUAAUUUUGGCAAAAUUGGCCAAAAACAAAAAAAAUUACCUACUAAAAUCACUAGCCAGUUGUGUCAGUUUGGGGAACCGACUAUACUAAUAAACAAUUUCUAAGCUGUUUUAUAAUAUUUUGUGAGUCCAUUAAUCAUAUUUUUUAUUUAAAACUAAAAUUUGUUCAUAAUGCUUAGUAAUGCAUAUAUUUUGUAUUUUUAGCUUUCCAGAAGAUCCUGCGAAGAAGACAUGAAGUAUAGAUCAGAUUUGUUAAUAGAGGAGUAUGUUCAAAACACUUUUUAGAAAAAGAUAUUGACAGAACUUCACUUUCAUCUGUUCGUUUAAGAGACUGUGCUGUUCCAAUAGCUUAUGUCACACAGAAUCAGCUGAGAGAAGUGGUCUACAAAAAACCAGAAAGGAAACGGAAUAUGUGGCUACGAAAAGCAAAAGAAAGGUUUACAAAGCAAAUGUGACACAUUUUUUUAUAAUAUUUAGGAAUGUCAGUAAAUUACAUUAAAAAAUGUAUGUAAAGAUUUUUUGCAAUAAAAAUGUUUAUAUUUA
rnacentral:lncRNA from 1 species